UACGUAGGGUGCGAGCGUUGUCCGGAAUUACUGGGCGUAAAGAGCUCGUAGGUGGUUUGUCGCGUUGUCCGUGAAAACUCACAACUCAAUUGUGGGCGUGCGGGCGAUACGGGCAGACUGGAGUACUGCAGGGGAGACUGGAAUUCCUGGUGUAGCGGUGGAAUGCGCAGAUAUCAGGAGGAACACCGGGGGCGAAGGCGGGUCUCUGGGCAGUAACUGACGCGGAGGAGCGAAAGCGGGGGAGCGAACAGG
rnacentral:rRNA from 1 species